GAACGAGAAAGCGGGAGCAAUCUCGCAAGUAAAGUGGCGUACGGGUGAGUAACACGUGGAUGAUCUGCCCUGGAGUGGGGAAUAACGCUGGGAAACCGGCGCUAAUACCGCAUAUUCCCGAGAGGGGAAAGCAGCAAUGCGCUCGAGGAGGAGUCCGCGGCCGAUUAGCUAGUUGGCAGGGUAAAAGCCUACCAAGGCUGUGAUCGGUAGCCGGCCUGAGAGGGCACACGGCCACACUGGCACUGAAACACGGGCCAGACUCCUACGGGAGGCAGCAGUGGGGAAUCUUGCACAAUGGGGGAAACCCUGAUGCAGCGACGCCGCGUGAGCGAUGAAGCCCUUCGGGGUGUAAAGCUCUUUCGGCAGGGAAGAUUAUGACGGUACCUGCAGAAGCAGCUGCGGCUAACUACGUGCCAGCAGCCGCGGUAAUACGUAGGCAGCAAGCGUUGUUCGGAGUUACUGGGCGUAAAGGGUGUGUAGGCGGCCCGCUAAGUUCCGUGUGAAAUCUCCCGGCUCAACCGGGAGGGUGCGCGGAAUACUGACGGGCUAGAGUGCGGGAUGGGAGAGUAGAAUUCCUGGUGUAGCGGUGAAAUGCGUAGAUAUCAGGAGGAAUACCGGUGGUGUAGACGGCUCUCUGGAC
rnacentral:rRNA from 1 species